UACGUAGGGUGCGAGCGUUAAUCGGAAUUACUGGGCGUAAAGCGUGCGCAGGCGGUGAUGUAAGACCGAUGUGAAAUCCCCGGGCUUAACCUGGGAACUGCAUUGGUGACUGCAUUGCUGGAGUAUGGCAGAGGGGGGUGGAAUUCCACGUGUAGCAGUGAAAUGCGUAGAGAUGUGGAGGAACACCGAUGGCGAAGGCAGCCCCCUGGGCCAAUACUGACGCUGAGGCGCGAAAGCGUGGGGAGCGAACGGG
rnacentral:rRNA from 1 species